rnacentral:piRNA from 1 species
UCCUUUAAACCAGUAGAUCUUUAGCUAUU